GGAAAUAAUGUGAAUAGGUACUAGAGAUCACCAUAGAAACCAGGCCAAGGCUUGGCGCUUCUGCUCGGCUAAUCAAAAUGUAACUGAGAACUGAACAGGCCCUGUCCUUAACCAGCGAUGUGCCGGAACCGGAUGGAAAGGCCCUGCCCUUAGCCGUGCUACAAAGAAAUGCGCAAGGCCCCUCCUCAACCGUUGCUGGGCUGGGAAGAGACGCAAGUGACCUGCCCUUAACCAUCGCUGGACUACAAACCAUGCACAGCCCGGGCAGGAUGGAAUAGGAAUAGUCCGCACCGAACAUCUCCUUUAAGUCUUUGCUGAGGUCCGUGCAGUCAAGUCCUAGGUGUGUCUGGAGUCCAGAGGAGGCCUCAAGUCAACCACACAGCCACAAGUCUACAGGUCCCAGUCAGAGCCUGAUAAAAAUUGAUGCGGGAACAGCAGAAGGAGACGGAGAGAGAGAAAACAGAGGAAAUGAGAAGAGAAGGCUGCAGAGACGACAGAGGCCGCGUGGAAAUUAACAUUUUCACUGGAUAGGCUAAUAUGAUGACAACUUCACCCUUUCACUGCUGGUGUGGAAUAAUUCGGUGUAUUGAAUGACCUGAAGAAGUUGGGUAGAAUACAGUGUGGUGGCCCAGUACAGGAGUUGUACCCUUGCUGUCCUGUCAGGCAGCCCCCCUGCAGUGUCCCCUGGGCCCCUUCACCUGUUCCCUCUGUACAAUUGGUUUUAUGCUGUGUAUUGUAUAUAAGAGUAUUGUACCUUUAAGAAUAUUGUCAUGUGGUUAACCUGUUGUCAUGUGAGGGUAACCCAGUGUGGUGUCAGUGACCAUGUGACCUAUGGGUGACCUAUGGGACCCCACCAGAGUCUCCCCUAUAUAAGCCCUGGGAGGCUUCUCUUCUCUUUGAGCUCAGCUCCGAGCUUUUGCUGACGUUCAGCCAAGUCAAGUCUGUCUGGAGUCCAUAGGAGACCUCAAGUCCGCCCAGCAGCCACAAGUAUUCAAGUUAGCUACAAUUGGGGUAUAGUCAGUCCCAUUCAAGUCAGUCAAGUCAAAGUCAUCUGUCAUCAAUCAGCGUGGCCUGCAGCAAUAUUGUCUCAAUCCACUACAAGUCCCAGAAAGCCCUAAGGUCUCUGAAGUCACUGGUCACCUCCGUGGGCCUGGCUAAGCUGUAUAGACUGUUCCAUCUGUCACUCAGUAAAGCUAC